rnacentral:snRNA from 1 species
AUACCUUUCUCGGCCUUUUGGCUAAGAUCAAGUGUAGUAUCUGUUCUUAUCAGUUUAAUAUCUGAUACGUGAGCCAUCGGUUCACAUGAUAUUAACUUAAUCUUUCAAGGGGAAGGCUCAUUAAGGUAGCUUGCUACUUGGGCCUUCGUGAGUCGCCUUGGUAUUGCACUAUUACCUUGGCCUGGCUCGCCCUGC